UUUUUUGCGCAGAGGCGAUAUCGUAGCCAAUGAAGUUCUACUGAGGUGCGAUUAUUGCUAGUUAAAAUGAUUUUGAAACUGAUCGGACGGUAAACAAACAACUUUCAUACAAACGUUUUCUGCCAAUUUACCACUGUUGCGAGU